rnacentral:rRNA from 1 species
CAGGUCGAACGGUAACGCGGAGAGAAGCUUGCUUCUCACCGGCGACGAGUGGCGAACGGGUGAGUAAUACAUCGGAACGUGUCCGCUCGUGGGGGACAACCAGCCGAAAGGUUGGCUAAUACCGCAUGAGUUCUACGGAAGAAAGAGGGGGACCCGCAAGGGCCUCUCGCGAGCGGAGCGGCCGAUGACUGAUUAGCCGGUUGGUGAGGUAACGGCUCACCAAAGCAACGAUCAGUAGCUGGUCUGAGAGGACGACCAGCCACACUGGGACUGAGACACGGCCCAGACUCCUACGGGAGGCAGCAGUGGGGAAUUUUGGACAAUGGGCGCAAGCCUGAUCCAGCUAUUCCGCGUGUGGGAUGAAGGCCCUCGGGUUGUAAACCACUUAUGUAGAGAACGAAAAGACACCUUCGAAUA